CGGCAACAGCUCAAAUUUGAAAUCUGGCCCUUGUGGUCCGAGUUGUAAUUUGUAGAGGAUGCUUUUGGUGAGGUGCCUUCCGAGUGCCCUGGAACGGGACGCCAUAGAGGGUGAGAGCCCCGUCUGGUUGGACACCGAGCCUCUGUAAAGCUCCUUCGACGAGUCGAGUAGUUUGGGAAUGCUGCUCUAAAUGGGAGGUAUAUGUCUUCUAAAGCUAAAUAUUGGCCAGAGACCGAUAGCGCACAAGUAGAGUGAUCGAAAGAUGAAAAGCACUUUGAAAAGAGGGUUAAAAAGUACGUGAAAUUGUUGAAAGGGAAGCGCUUGUGACCAGACUUGGGCCCGGUCAAUCAUCCAGGGUUCUCCCUGGUGCACUUGGCCGGCCCAGGCCAGCAUCAGUUUGUCGCGGGGGAUAAAGACGUCGGGAAUGUGGCUCCUCCGGGAGUGUUAUAGCCCUUCGUGCAAUACCCUGCUUCGGACUGAGGUUCGCGCAUCUGCAAGGAUGCUGGCGUAAUGGUCAUCAGCGACCCGUCUUGAAACACGGACCAAGGAGUCGUCUUCGUAUGCGAGUGUUCGGGUGUCAAACCCCUACGCGUAAUGAAAGUGAACGCAGGUGAGAGCUUCGGCGCAUCAUCGACCGAUCCUGAUGUUCUCGGAUGGAUUUGAGUAAGAGCAUACGGGGCCGGACCCGAAAGAAGGUGAACUAUGCCUGUAUAGGGUGAAGCCAGAGGAAACUCUGGUGGAGGCUCGCAGCGGUUCUGACGUGCAAAUCGAUCGUCAAAUAUGGGCAUGGGGGCGAA
rnacentral:rRNA from 2 species